rnacentral:tRNA from 1 species
UAGCUUAAAGUGGUAGAGCGUAUGCUUAGCAUGCAUGAGGUCCUGGGCUCAAUCCCCAG